UGUGUUUCUUUAAUUCUGUCCAUUGUUCUUUUGUUCUGUCUGUUGUUCUUUCAUUUUGUCCAUUGUUCUUUUGUUUUGUCUGAGUUGUUUCCUUCAUUCUGUCAGUUGUUCUUUUGUUUUGCCUGUCUAUCCUUCCUUUUUGUCUUUCUGUCCACCACUUUUCAUUCUGUAUUUCAUUCUUUUGUUCUGUCUGUAGUUCUUUUGCUCUGUCUGUCAUUCUUUCACUCUGUCGUUCUUUUGUUCUGUUGUUCUUUUGCACUGUCAUUCUUUUGUUCUGUCUGUUGUUCUUUUAUUCUGUCUUUUGUUCCUUCAUUUUUUCGUCGAUCUUUCGUUUUGUCUAUCUGCCUUUCACUCUUUCAUUCUGUCUGUCGUUCUUUUCGUUUUCUCCAUAUUUUUAUUGUUUUGUCUGUCUGACCUUCAUUCUUUCUGUCUGUCUCUGUUGUUUGGUCUGUUGUUCUUUUCUUCUGUCUGUUAUUCUUUCAUUCUGUCUGUCGUUCUUUCAUUCUGUCUGUAUUUCUUUCAUUCUGCCUGUCAUUCUAUAUUUCUGUCUGUAUUUCUUUCAUUCUGUCUGUCGUUCUUUAAUUUUGCCUGUCUUUCAUUUUGUUCGUCAGUCCUUCAUUCUGUCUGUCUCUGUCCUUCUCUCUGUCAUUCUUUAGUUUUGUCUGUCAUUCUUUCAUUCUGUCUGAUGUUUUUUUGUUCUCUGACAUUCUUUCAUUCCGUCUGUAUUUCUUCCAUUCUGUCUGUCAUUCUUUUGUUCUGUCCAUUGUUCUUUUGUUGUGUCUGUCUGGCCUUCAUUAUUUCGUCCUCUGUCUGUCUGUUGUUCUUUCAUUCUGUUUUUGUCAAUCUAUCUACAGUACAGGCUCUUUCUCUUUUUCUGUCUAUGUAUCUACUGUAUCUGAAUCUGUUGAUCAAUCUGUUGAUACAUCUUACAUUCUGUGUAGCAUUCUGUCUCAGUUGUUCUGUCUGUAUGUCUUUCUUCUUUAUCUGUCAUUCUAUCUUCAGUCAGUCGUUCAGUCUAUCUAUAUGUCAUUCUGUUAUCUUUCUGUCUAAUUAUCUGAUGUUCUAUCUUUUACGCUCAGGACAAAUUCACAAAUUGACUUUAAAUUUAAAAGACAUUUUCAUUUAAAAUCUGAAUGGGAUAGACAGGCUGAUAGAUUUAUAUC
ensembl:lncRNA